GGCUCCAUAGCUCAGUGGGUAGAGCACUGGUCUCAGAAACCAGUGGUUGUGAGUUCGUGCCUUAUUGGGGCCU